rnacentral:rRNA from 1 species
AAGUCGAACGGUAACAGGAAACAGCUUGCUGUUUCGCUGACGAGUGGCGGACGGGUGAGUAAUGUCUGGGAAACUGCCUGAUGGAGGGGGAUAACUACUGGAAACGGUAGCUAAUACCGCAUAACGUCGCAAGACCAAAGAGGGGGACCUUCGGGCCUCUUGCCAUCGGAUGUGCCCAGAUGGGAUUAGCUAGUAGGUGGGGUAACGGCUCACCUAGGCGACGAUCCCUAGCUGG